AGAUUGCUCGAUUGUGUCAACAAUCACUCCGAUCGUACACCAUGUCUGGAUGCUCAUCUUCCACCUGUUGUUGCGGUUCUAGCUGCCAGUGCGACCCUUCAAGUUGCAAGUGCAGGUCCUUGGCUGAGCCCACCUUCGGUGGCCUUCGCAAGUGUGUCUCUGCUCUCUUCUGCCCUUCGUGUUCCAGAUGAAAUUGUGUGAACUCUCUCGCGGAAUUCUGCAAUUCGAUAUGUUAGAUUGUUCUCAGGGGUUUUCCUUUUGCUUGAAGUCUCAGAUGGGUAGAAUUGUGGAAAAGGGUUGGUCAUCGGGACAUGGUUCUAACGUGUUGCGAUCCUUGACUGUGUGUGUGAAUUGUCCAGCUACAACGCAGAGAACGACUGCAAAUGUGGACCCGGCUGCAGCUGCGCCGACUGCGACUGCCACAAAUGAAGACCUCCGUCGUCUCUCACGACGGUUUGGAUCGGGAGGGGCUUAACCUUGGCGUGAGCUUCCUCAUCAGUUGUGUGUAAGAUUCGUCAGGAAAGACAAAAAAAAAGUAUCGAAGCUUCCAAGCUAUGGCUACCGCUCUAUUAGGAGUAAAUCGCCACUCUUUUCGGGGCAGAGAAACCAUAGCAAUUAUCAAUAAUAAUCAUCAUCAUUGUGAGUAGUUGCAUCCGAGCGGCAGCUGCCUGUGCUUGUUUUUCGAUUUGCAAUUGCUCAGUAAAGUUUGCUCUCAAUUAAAUUCUGAACUUUGCUGCCUCCGAUCCAUCCCCUGACUGAUGUGAAACUGGUCCAACGUUCAUCAUGUGGUUCAUCUGUCUCAUACUUUUGUGAAUCCCCGAUCGUAUUAGUCUGCUUCCAGCCGGCGAAUUCUGCAUCACAUCGAUCUGCUGUCCGCUCAGUCACGAUUUGCUUUCCUGCGCUCAGAACGCUACUGCUAGUCUACAGUGAACACGUGAUAGUGUGCUCCGGAAGCAAACGAUCCGGAUUGUGUGAAAAUUCAACUCACAUCCAUCUCCGUCGUGUAUCCGGGAGUCAUUCUAGCACAAAAUAUUCUGCUUUCAAUGUAGCGUUUAGGUUUCUGUGUCGUUUGAUUCUUGCUGUACUACAUAUCAAAAGUAAGAGUGAGUUCUUUUUAUAAUAUUUAAGAAGCUGAUUAUUUUUUGUACUGUUAAGAUCCCAAUGGUGUAAUGAAUAUG
rnacentral:lncRNA from 1 species